rnacentral:rRNA from 1 species
CCUACGGGGGGCUGCAGUGGGGAAUAUUGGACAAUGGGGGCAACCCUGAUCCAGCCAUGCCGCGUGUGUGAAGAAGGCCCUCGGGCUGUAAAGCACUUUCAGUGAGGAAGAACGCCUGGUGGUUAAUACCCAUCAGGAAAGACAUCACUCACAGAAGAAGCACCGGCUAACUCCGUGCCAGCAGCCGCGGUAAUACGGAGGGUGCGAGCGUUAAUCGGAAUUACUGGGCGUAAAGCGCGCGUAGGUGGCUUGAUAAGCCGGUUGUGAAAGCCCCGGGCUCAACCUGGGAACGGCAUCCGGAACUGGCAAGCUAGAGUGCAGGAGAGGAAGGUAGAAUUCCCGGUGUAGCGGUGAAAUGCGUAGAGAUCGGGAGGAAUACCAGUGGCGAAGGCGGCCUUCUGGACUGACACUGACACUGAGGUGCGAAAGCGUGGGUAGCAAACAGGAUUAGAUACCCCGGUAGUC